GGGCUGCGCCUGCGCAGGAAGUAGCGCUUCGGCUGCGCUCUGGCACGUUAAGCUCCGCGCUUGCGCACUGGAAGUUGUUCUUGACUGUGGGAACUUUAUCGCUGUGGGGCGUCCGGCGAAGGGUCUCAUCUCAAACUGAACUCCUGUCCUACCCCUGCUCAAACCUGCUCCCCGCGAGAGUGUCUCAGAUCUGGGAGCUCGGUGGCAUCCUGGACUCCGUUCUCUCCAACAAAAGACACGACACUCAAUCCAUCAGACUUCCUAGAGGCUCGACCUUCAAAAGCAUUCAGAACCUGAUCCCUUCUCACCACCAUCAUCUCACCUGGAUGAUACCAGCUUGCUCCCUCUUCAGCCCUCUACAUUCUAGUCUCAACCAGCACAGCAGGCCAAUGAGACUGGUAACUCCGUCACUUACGUCACUGCUCUGCUCAGAACUUGUGUGGCUUCUCACCUCCCUCAAAACAGAGCCAGAGCGACGGCCUGUGAGGUGGACCUGUCACUUCUCAGACCUCAGCAACCCUGACUCUCUUCACGCACCCUCUUCUAGCCACACUAGCCUCCUUGCUGUUGGUGAAACACCCUAGGCAGAAAAGCGCGCUAGUGGAAAAACUGGUGACACCCAAGUAAAGUCUGCAUUUAAUGAACCAUCUUGUACCAACGUUGGUUUAGACAAAUGCACCACAGUCCCCUAAAGGAAACUAAGAAAGAGAUAUUCAGAAUUCUAUAUACUAUCCUUUGUAGCUUUCCUGUAAAUCUAAAGUUAAGCCCCCCCAAAAAAAGUUUUAAAAAAAGCUAAGCUAAAAAAAUCUGCAUAAAAAUAUGAAUCCACAAAGCCCUACUCUUAACCACUAUUCUUUUUAAUGUAUGAAAACACAAGCAUUCUAAUGUAUCUUACCUUAUAAAAGUAAAAUUAUAUGUUGAAUACA